UACGAGGGGGGCAAGCGUUGUUCGGAAUUAUUGGGCGUAAAGGGCGCGUAGGCGGUGCGGUAAGUCACCUGUGAAAACUCUGGGCUCAACUCAGAGCCUGCAGGCGAAACUGCCGUGCUGGAGUGUGGGAGAGGUGCGUGGAAUUCCCGGUGUAGCGGUGAAAUGCGUAGAUAUCGGGAGGGACACCUGUGGCGAAAGCGGCGCACUGGACCACAACUGACGCUGAGGCGCGAAAGCUAGGGGAGCAAACAGG
rnacentral:rRNA from 1 species